AGAGCUUUGAUCCUGGCUCAGAUUGAACGCUGGCGGCAUGCCUUACACAUGCAAGUCGAACGGCAGCACGGGGGCAACCCUGGUGGCGAGUGGCGAACGGGUGAGUAAUACAUCGGAACGUGCCCUGUAGUGGGGGAUAACUAGUCGAAAGAUUAGCUAAUACCGCAUACGACCUGAGGGUGAAAGCGGGGGACCGCAAGGCCUCGCGCUACAGGAGCGGCCGAUGUCUGAUUAGCUAGUUGGUGGGGUAAAAGCCUACCAAGGCGACGAUCAGUAGCUGGUCUGAGAGGACGAUCAGCCACACUGGGACUGAGACACGGCCCAGACUCCUACGGGAGGCAGCAGUGGGGAAUUUUGGACAAUGGGGGCAACCCUGAUCCAGCAAUGCCGCGUGUGUGAAGAAGGCCUUCGGGUUGUAAAGCACUUUUGUCCGGAAAGAAAUGGCUCUGGUUAAUACCUGGGGUCGAUGACGGUACCGGAAGAAUAAGCACCGGCUAACUACGUGCCAGCAGCCGCGGUAAUACGUAGGGUGCGAGCGUUAAUCGGAAUUACUGGGCGUAAAGCGUGCGCAGGCGGUUUUGUAAGACAGGCGUGAAAUCCCCGAGCUCAACUUGGGAAUGGCGCUUGUGACUGCAAGGCUAGAGUAUGUCAGAGGGGGGUAGAAUUCCACGUGUAGCAGUGAAAUGCGUAGAGAUGUGGAGGAAUACCGAUGGCGAAGGCAGCCCCCUGGGACGUCACUGACGCUCAUGCACGAAAGCGUGGGGAGCAAACAGGGAUUAGAUACCCUGGUAGUCCACGCCCUAAACGAU
rnacentral:rRNA from 1 species